rnacentral:SRP_RNA from 1 species
GCUGGGCAUGGUGGCGCGUGCCUGUAGUCCCAGCUACUUGGGAGGGUGAGGUGGGAGGAUUGCUUGAGCCCAGGAGUUCUGGGCUGUAGUGCGCUAUGCCGAUUGGGUGUCUGUACUAAGUUCGGCAUCAAUAUGGUGACCUCCUGGGAGUGGGGGACCACCAGGCUGCCUAAGGAGGGGUGAACCAGUCCAGGUUGGAAACAGAGCAGGUCAAAGCUCCAGUGCUAAUCAAUAGUGGGAUCACGCCUGUAAAUAGCCACUGCACUCUAGUCUGGGCAACACAGCAAGCCUCCUCUUAA